AGAAACAAACCAAGAAUUUGAGUAGCUCCCAAGAGAGUAUCAACACCAGCAUACUUGCAAGAUUUGACAUAAACAACACCUUGAACAGCUAUAAAGCUUCUAGGGAGGGGAGUAGGAUGCAAUGGUGGGUGUGCUGGAGCAGGUGGGUGUAAUGGAGGGUGAGUUGGAACAACAGGGGUGUGAACGGGUGGGUGUAGUGGUGGAUGUGCUGGAGCAACAGGUGUGUGGACAGGUGUAGGAGCAGGAGGGUGAGGAUGAUGGUGGUGGUGGCCGUGAGUUGGUGGUUUAGCAGGUACAGGAGCAGAAUGGUAAGGAGGGUGUAGAGGGGUGUGAAUAGGAGAAGGAGAAGGAGUAGGAGUAGGAGCAGGGGUUGGUGAGUGAAUGUGGUGGUGGUGAUGGUGGUGAGGGGCGUUAGCCGGUGGGUGAAGUGGAGCUGGUGUUGUGUGAGGAGGGUAAGUUGGGGUAAGAGUUUCAAGCUCUUCUGCAAAUGUAGUGAAAGAGAUGAGUUGGAGUAAGAGUAGCAACAUUGCAAGGGUUUUAGCCAUUUCUCAAAGUGUAAGAGAAAGUAACCCUAGAAAGAGAGAGGAAGAGGAUGUGAUGUUGGUGUUAUGAGAGAGUGUGAGGGUUGAUUUAUAGGACCUAGUGCCCAAAUUUAUUGUGGUUUUUGUUUAUAUGCAAGUUAUUUUUUAAAAUAAUUUUGUUUCUUUAUUUUUGCUUUUUAGUGCAAGAUAUAAGCAGAAAUUUGGGGAAGGGGUUCCGAAAACUAGGAAAACAAUAGGACAAUGGGUAAAUGUUAAAAAUAUUUAAUUGUAUUUUUGUCUCCUAUUUUUUCAAACUUACAAAAUUAAUUUUCAUUUUUUUAACUUGAAAUUUUUGAUGCUCUAAUGCUAUGUUUAAUUGGUUUCGCGUUCAAUAUUUAUGGCAUUGUUCAAAUUGUGUUGUCUACAUGAUCACUGGUGUGAACAUCUUUUUAGUCUUGAAUAAGUAUUAUAGACCCAAUUUAUCUACACUAACUAUAAGAAAUGUUAUGUACAAUAGUAUUUUUUGUUGGAAAUAACCUAAGGAAAUUUUAACACUUGUUCUAUUUUUUCCUUAAUUCUUGGAUAUUUUGCUUCUAAUAUUGGUAUUUUGUACGUUUUAAAUGUUGAAAUUAUGGAUGUUAUCCUUGCUAUUGAGUUAGCUUAUGAGAAAUAUUUGACUCAUCUUUGACUUGAAUAUGAUUCUUAGCUUGUCAACUUGACUUUUAUGCCGUCUAAGAUCAUUUAUUAGAAUUUAUAUAAUCAUUGAAAAAACUGUUUUGAUUUGCUUAGAAAUAUAACUUUGAGGUCACUCACAUUUACGAGAAGGAAAUUGUUGUAUUGAUCGUAUUGCUAAUAUAUGUAUUUUUAUCUUUAGUCUCGCUUGUGCGAUAGCACGUCAGAUUUCUAUUAAAGACGAUUUUCAUCAUAAUCGAUUAGGUUUACCUUUAUAUAUAUUUUGUUUAUGUUGGUUUCUGCAAUAUAUAAACUCUACACUUUUUCUUUUUUUUUCGUUCAUCAAGCUUUCAAUAAAGCAAAAUGUUUUUAACACCUUAUGCCUUGUCUUGGGUAUUGUCAUAGUCUCCCCAAGUUAUACUAUAAGUUAACCAAACCACCCUUGUUAGAAUUUUAACACUUUGAAGUUCUUUACCAAACUUUUACUAUGAAAGUUUUAUUUUGUGGAAAUUUGAACACUUGUUGAAUCAUUAUUGAAAAGAUUAAUUAAAUGAAGAAAAUCUUAAUAAUUUUGUAGUAGUACAAAAGAAGGAUGAUAAAGAAAACUAUUCUGGCUUGGCACAGACAAACGGCUGAAGAAGAGCACAUGCAUAGGUACUGGUUAUCCAAUAUCUGGAAUUCGCACUUCUUGCAAGGCAAAUGUAGAAGUUUCCAAGAACGUUGGUAAUAGCAUUCUUCUUUUUUUAAAGGUUAAUAACUUGUUUUAUUAUUAUGUACUAUUGUAAUACUAAUAUUCUCUCCGGUCCUAUUUACAAAAAAUAAUUUACUUUUUAGAUACAUUAAAUAAUUUAUGUAUUUGGUUUAGGUUCUUGACUAGAUACAUACAUUAUUCAAUGUAUUUAAAAAGUGACCUUUCUCUUGUAAACAGGACCGGAGGGAGUACCUAAAAAGUGAUCUUUCUCUUGUAAACAGGGCCGGAGGGAGUGAGGGAAUACUAUAGAGGCUAGGAGCAUAAAAUGUAGCACAAAAUCACAGAAUAAAUUGUUUGGAAAAAAAUAAUCACGAAAGAAAUGGUUGAAUAAUCCAGUGUAAAGAAUCUGGUUUUUCUUUUUUUGAACUGAAAGUCAUUUGGAAACUUAAAAUAAUUCUUCAAAAUGAUGUGUUUUGGUGGGUUUAUCUUCAUGGGUAUUUUUAGGUGGUUAUGGUGUACCGUCUAUAUGCAGCACCAUUUGUAUCUUGUUUCGUCCAUACCUUACGUCUUGCGGGGAUGGCGUUUACUAAUAUUUGCCGAUUCAAAAAAAAAAGGUUUCCAUACCGUUGGAUGUUCUUAUAGAAUAUAGGUUGGAUUUAAUUCAGAUUUUAUCAAACUUUGUAAGAUUAAAAUUGUAUGCAUUUAUAACUCUUGUCCAUAACUUAUCUCUUCCAUUGUGAGACUCUAACACACUUUUUCACACCUAAAGCUAGACAUCUAAAGCAUUUUCAAUAACAGUGAUCUAAUACCAUCUCAAAAUUUACGUUGGGUCUAACUCAACUAUUAUAAAAUUAGUUUGCAAUGCAUGGAUUGCUCCGAGUUAUAAACUUAUAAUCAUACAUCGUUUUAUCUAAUAAGAGACUCUUUACAAAUUUUUCUAAUUGUUGGAUUUGAUGUAUUAAAUAGUUAGACACUCAGUCUUAUUUGAAGGGGGUUUGGGAUAAACACUCGUCUUGUCUUAUUUGAAGAGUUUUGAGAUAGAAUUUCAUUUAAUAUGCUUGAUAUUUUUAUUCAACGAGUAUUAAUUAGUCAUAUAUUUCAUAACAUUAACUAAUCACAGUGUUUGUUUAUUUACUGUACACAUUUAUUUACGUUUCUUGGCGGGCACUCCAAACCAAUCUCCAUUUAAGAACUGUGAGAAUAUUUUUGUGCCUCGUGCUUGGCUUACUUAUUGUCAGUACUCCAUCAUCCUUCUCAAAACCUAAAAAAAAAAAAAUGUUCCUGAUAUUGUACCUUUUUUAUAGUAUAUUGUACGUUUAAAUCUUGAACCAUCCCAGCAUCUUAAUGUUAAUUUUUGGGGUUUUGUAGGUAUGUUUUUUUUCUCGUGGACGGGCUAACUUACUCCAUGUAUUUUGUACUUAUUGGUGGUUAUCUACUUUUGUUAAAAUAUUUUGUGAUCUUUAUUAAUGAUAUUCCAAGCUUUUUGUACAACAUUCGCUUCAAGAUUUCUCCUUCAAAACAAACUUUGUUAUGAGCAUAUCAAAAUCCAUAACAAAGAUAUUUGAUAUAAUGUUUCACAAGCAAUCAAUGAAAGAUAUCGAAAUGCCCUUCAACCAAAAUACAAGAGAAGCACAACCAAACUUGUUUAGCAUACAAGAAAUUCAUGAAAAUAUGAUCUAAUUCUUCUGUUGCUUUGCAAAGGGGACAUAGGGGAUCGAUCAACACAUGUUUUUUAGUAAACUUCUUUUUAACCUGGGGACUAUUGUGAAGAAUCCUCCAUGCGAAGUGAAAAUGUUUAAUUAAGGAUUAUACUUAUGUUCGUAACAUAAGUAUACAUUAGGAUGCUAUACUAUCCUAUAAGCCUACGAAUUGCAUAUCCCCAUUGUGAUAAUGUGAUUCAUGAUGGGCACAAUUUGUAGACCAGACGCUUUUGUGGCAACCCCGUUAAAAAAGCCAGUUUUUUGAAAUUUGAGUUUUAUCCAAAAAUUGCUUACUUUUCAUCAUUAUUCUCAACUUCAAACGUUGAUGGAUACAAUCACCUCAUUGGUUUCUUGAGAGUCUAACAGUAAGAAAAGAUGCUGAUCAAUGGUUUCAAAUUAGAAAAGAAAAUCAAAUUUUUGAGAAUUAGUUAGUUUUGGGAGGAUUAAAUAUGAAAUAAAAAAUUAAUAGUACGUAUGAAUUUUGAUAUGUUAGUUUUCAAUUAGAAUACCAGUGGAGAUUAAUUAAGUCUAGUAAGAAAGGUUGGAUUCUCAUUUCUCAUAACUUGACAAUUAAGAUUUAAACACAUAAUGAGAGAAGCAUACACAUUUAGGAUCGAAUACAUCUCAGAUAGAAUUACUCAAAGUGGAAGAAAUUUAUAGAAAAAAAAAAUCACAUUACGUAUAUAAAUUAUGUAUUGAGAAUUUUUUAUAUACUAGCACAUAAUCGUGUUUGGAUUUAUUUUUGGGAGAAUAACAAUAUGAUUCUCAAAAACCCAACAAAUAAAACAUGAUUCUCAAAAAUUAAAAUUGAAUUUUAGAACAUGAUAUGUUUAAAAGUUCUUCAUUAGAUUGAUUAUAAAUCAUGUAGAUCAAAAACCUUUGUCCGUAGUCCAGGGCCCAAAAAACUAGGCUGAAUUUCUUUGGAACAGAUACUAUUCGGCUAUGAUUCAAACACCGAAUUGUAAACGUUCCAAUAUGACGAACUAACGUACAAAUUAUGGCCAAGGGAUUUACCAACAUGAAAUACCUGACACAUCUCUCCCAUACAUAGAGCUUGCGCUAUUGGGUCUGGAGUAAUAAUUGUUCCAGUAUCUACUCGGUGAGGUCUACUUAUAGGUUCCUUCAUAGGAGAGCUAGCGAGGCGGAUAGGUGGCUGAGAGAGAUUUCUUUCAAGGAUGUGGGAGUCUCAAGGUGAAGAAUUUAUCUUGACAACCGCUUUAUGAUAGGAUUUCGAAUCACCAUAAUCUCUUUCCUAUAAGGGUUAUAGUUUAUCUUAGGGGCAUUUUUUUGUGUUUUCUAUAUGAACCUAUAGUGUCGACUUAUGACCUUUUUUGUUAGGUGUACUUAUCUAUGUGAGAUAUGUGGUAUUAGAGCAUCCACAAUGGAGAUAUCCAUUUUUUGGUUGUUAAAUGAGUCCCACGUAUACACAUUACUUAUUUAUACUUUUUUAAUAGUAGUACAUAAUAAGCACUCAAUCACUCCAACCCAGAUCUCACACAAAGUUCUUAAAUGGGAUCCACUAAUCAACUAUCAAUAACUUUAUAUCAUUAUAUUUCAAUUUUUUAAUAUUAAAAGAGUGCGUGUCCUGCUUAAAAGUUUGGGUCUUAAGUAAGACCCCAAGUCUUAUAAGACCCUGAAAAAGAUUCUCUCAAUUGGGGGUACCUAAUAGGUACCGGGUCUUAAAUAGUUAAGACCCUCCCAUUGGAGAUGGUCUUAUGUGCUUGGGUGAUUGGAGUGAGGGUCAGUUUUACCUUCGAAUUUAGCAAGCAUUCUUAGUUUUAUGUUAAGAGAGGUUGGGUUUCUUACUACUAUGUCAAACUGUUGUGUGGUCCUUAUAAAGUUCUUGUAUGUUCGCAUUUUUUUGGGUAGGGAACUUUCGUGUUCUAGUUGAUAGAUAUGGUUAAACUCACCUAUGAUAGAUAUGGUUAAACUCACCUAUUAGAAGUGGUUUUUAGGAAAGUAUUCCGGCCACACCUAUUAUUUCUAUGAGUGCGAUCACGAAUCCAUUUUGUGUUGACAUCGAUAGUGUAACGUGAUGGCUUUGUUUAGAGGUUUGUUGACUGUGGGGGUUCUAAUCCUAUUCUUCCUCUUGUUUGAUUGUGGUUGGAUGUUUCUAAUAGAAUGUUAGACAAUUUUCUUGUGUUGUUUUGGUUUGGCUAUUAUUUUAUGAGAAAUGAUAUUUGUACAACCACUUUAUGAUAAUUUUUUGAUAACUUUCUCUCUCAUACUCACAUUAUAUUCUUAUUCUCUCUGGACCUUUUUCUCUCUAUUGUUUUUGACCAGUGAAAAGAGAGAAAAUAAUAGUUAUCAUCAAAGUUGUCACCAAUGGUGGUACAUAUAUCACUACUCUACUCUUAUUUUAUUUAUGGAUUGGCUUGAGUACUUCUUCAUAUGUAUGUACUCUAUCACGUGUUUCUUCCUUUUUUUUUUUAGGUAGCCUAGUGGUUAAAAUGCAUCUUAUAAGGUGAAUAAAUGGGGUGUUCGGAGUUCGAACUCCGGCCACUGCAUAUAAUAAUGCAUUGUCCUACCAACUGGCUCACGGAACUCUUCCUUUUUUAUAUUUGCCAUUAAAAAGAAAUAAUGAUAAUAUUCGGUUAGCUUAUCAUAUGAAUGGUAACGAUCCCUUGAAAAAAAUAUAUGAAUAGUAACGAUAAUUAUGGAAACAACCGGUUCUUGAUUCACAUAUAAAUAUGUGCAUCUUCAAAUUGUGUUGACUCAAUUAUCUCUAAUGUGAACUUUUUUUCCGUCUUAACUCUUAAUACUCUCUCUAUCUCUUCACUUUUUUUUUUGACCACAUUUAGUAAAAUUUUAAAAUGAAUGAAUUUUAAAAUAUAUAUAAUAUAUAGAAUUAUUAGUAGGGCUCAUUUUGUUUUUUGAAGAGCUUAGUUUGAGAAAUGAAGUUCUAUUAGGCAUAAAAUGAAUAAAGCGCACAUGCAAGAACCGCUUAUAAACUCAAAUGUGAGAGCUCUCUAUUGCGGGUGUUAUUAGAUUAAUGUUACAAAUAACUUCAAAAAAUCUUUUUUUACUAAACCUAAAAAACUUUUCAAAACUUUAAAUUCCUGUUUGAUGCGAAGAAUAUGAUACAACAAGAUAUGAUAAAUUGUUAGAUAAAAUAAGAUAUAUUAAUGACAUUAUAUUGUACCAAAAAAAUAAAAAUAACGACAUUAUAAACACCUACGAUAUCAAAAUUGUCUUAAAAUAUGGGCAUCUUCAAAUUAUCACUCAUGUGAACAUUUCUUUGUUGUCUUAUUAACGGUCCUCUCAAAAUAUCCUAACUUUGGAGUAAUAAGCAAAGGUGCUCAAUUGAUUCAAAAAAAAAAAAGUAAAGUCUCUUAAUAUUUAUUAAAAAAAAAAAAACUAUUCUAGAGGAAAUCUGUAGAGAUGUUGUCAAUAUGACAAUAUUCAAGUUCAGAAUAUAUUUUUAUGACAAUGGAUUAAAUAUGUUAGGUCAUUCAUAAAUAAUAGUCGUCUAACUUAAUACUAAAAAAAACUGUUUGAAUUCAUCAUUCUUACUUUUUUUUUUUUUUUCUUUUUUUUUUUAUAAACCGGAUAUCCUUCACGCGCAACUGCGGAGACUAAUCCCUCGAGUAUUGUGGGACCCAAAUGGGCGGCGGACUCUCUCUAAGAGUUUUAACUCUGCUGCAUGCCCAAGGCUGAAUACGAACCAAGAACCUUGGUUAAGCUAGAAGAGACUUGUUCCAUCUCAUCUAAAGCGCUCUUGGAUAUUCAUUCUUACUUCUUGAAUAACAUAAAUUGGAGUAAACAAAUUAAAUAAAAACGAUAAACAUUUUUUUAUUGCUGCAUUCUUACAAAAACCAUCCAUCACACACUCAUGAUGUCACUAUUAUGAAAGUGGAAACAAAGCUCCUAUCACUAAAAGACAUCAAUCUUUAUAAAUCCAAAAUUUCUUGAAUUCUAAUUUUCUUAAUGAGAGCAUUUAGGUUCAAACGCAAGGGGCGCAACAUUGUAGAGAAUAAAAGGAUGCCCUUCAGAUACAAAUGACUUCUUGGCCUUAAGAACGGCACCCGUGAUACCGCCAUGAAGAUUUGAGGGCUUUAGUCCAUUUGGUGCACUGACCAAUACAACAUUACACUUGCGAGCUGCAUAGCUUGAGAUGUUAUUUGAGCCUUUAAUAUAGAAAUAACCGUUCUUAUCUGUUUUUCCUUUUAAGACCACAUAUUGUUUGGUGUUGUUGCAUCGGAGCUUCACAACGGCACCUUCAAUUUCAAAACACCAUAACAUUAAUAAUAAUGAUCAUUAUUGUUUAAAAAGGGUACAUAACAUUGUCAUAUCAAUGAAAAAGGAUCCAACAAAAUAUGUCCAUUCUCGGUAAUCAUGCAACUUUAUUAAAAAUUUGAUGAAGAAAACUAAAAUUGAAAGAAAAUUGCGUAAAAAAUGCUCGGUGUAUAAUAAAAGAUCUAUAAAAAAAACUAAUUUGUAAAAAAAAUGAUAUGAAAGAACAAAGCAAUCAUGAAAGUUAAGAGACAAACCAAUUAUAGAUGUAGCACCCAAAAGGGUGUCACCUCCAGCAUGCUUGCAAGAUUUGACAUAAACAACACCUUGAACAGCUAUUAAGCUUCUAGGAUGGAAAAUUGAACGCAGUGGUGUGUGAGCAGGGGCAAGAGCAGGAGUGUGAUGAUGGCGGGGGUGAGGGUUGGGAGUUGGAGAUUUAGUAGGUACAUGGGCGUGGAAUGGAGGGUGAAUUGGAAUGUGUUUGUGAGCAGGGGCGUGAGCAGGAGGGUGGUGAUGUGUUGGUGGUUGAAUAGGCGCAUGAGUUAGAGGGCGUUGAUGGUUGUGAUGAGUUGGAGGUUUUGCAUGGCGAGGAGGAUGUACUGGAACAUGUUUGUGAACAGGGGCAUGAGCAGGAGGCUGGUGGUGAUGCGUUGGAGGUUGAACAGGGGAAUGAGUAGGAGGGUGUUGAUGGCGAUGAUGGGUUGGAGGUUUAGCAUGAUGAGGAGGAUGAACUGGAACAUGUUUGUGAAUAGGAGCAUGAGCAGGAGAGUGAUGGCGAUGUGUUGGAGGUUGAAUAGGGGAAUGAGCAGGAGUGUGUUGAUGACGGUGAUGGGUUGGAGGUUUAGCAUGGUGAGGAGGAUGAACUGGAACAUGUUUGUGAACAGGGGCAUGAGCAGGAGAGUGGUGGUGAUGUGUUGGAGGUUGAACAGGGGCGUGAGCAGGAGGAUGUUGAUGAUGGCGAUGGGUUGGGGGUUUAGUAUGAUGAGGAGGGUGUAAAGGAGCGUGAACAUGGGAACGAGAAGGGGUUGGUGA
rnacentral:lncRNA from 1 species